GCAGGAUGCCCACAUGCAGACCUGCUGCUGUGGUGUAGCCUCUGAUUACAGGAUCAGACAGCCAGCGACACACACCAUCUCCACCCAGCAGUUUGCAAGGCACUUUAACAUGUGGAGGACUGCACCAAGCAGUUUCUAGAUAUGGAUGUCCUUCCAGAAAAAUAAGGACUGAUAGUCACCGAUGGAGAGGUGUCUGGAAGUGCCAAAGAUGAAGUAGAUGAUCAGAGGAUAGAAUGAGGUGUAGAGACCAAACACUGGAGGAAUUCCCACCAACAUGGCAUUGGCCAUACCUGGGAUAGAGGAGGAGAGGUGAAGGGACUUCUUUUCUACUCGCUCCCCAAGGACAUCCAGCUGUGAUUUGUCCAGGGCAACAGCGAGAUGAGGCUGCCUGUCGUGAGGAAGGCCACUUCGAUCAACGCUGUCCAUCUGGAAUCAAUGUCAAAGAUUAUUGAUAGUACAGCUUUUC